UGACGGUACCCUACUAGAAAGGAGCCGCUAACUUCGUGCCAGAAGCGUCGGUAAUACGGGGGCUCCAAGCGUUAUCCGGUGUUAUUGGGCGUAAAGAGUCGUGUAGGUGGUUGGGUAAGUUAUCUUUCAAAUAUCUUUGCUUAACAAAGAGGAGGGGGAUAAUACUGCUCGACUAGAAUUUUCUCAAGGGAGAUCGGAACUGAGGGAGGAGUAGUGAAAUGCGUUGAUACCCUCGGGAACACCAAGUGGCGUAGGCGGAUCUCUGGGAGAAGAUUGACACUGAGACACGAAAGCUAGGGGAGCGAAGCAGAUUAGAGACCUGCGUAGUCCUAGCCGUAAACGCAUGCUUGCUAGCUGCAUGAAUCUACCUUCGGGUGGUAUCGUGUGGCGAAGGUAACCCGUUAAGCAAGCCGCCUGGAAAGUACGGCCGCAAGGCUGAAAUUCAAAGGAAUUGGCGGGGAGGCACACAACCAGUGGAACAUGUGGUUUAAUUCGAGACUAACCGAAGAACCUCACCAGGGUUUGACAUGUAGCUGCACGUCUUAAGAAAUUAAGACUCUCUUGAAGGUGCUACACAGGUGCUGCAUGGCUGUCGUCAGCUCGUUCCGUGAGGAGUGCCCUUAAGUGGGACAACGAGCGCAACCCCUAUUACAUGUUAGAAAUGUCAUGUAAGACUGCCUUGCCAUUUGGCGGGGAGGAAGGAGGGGCAGACGUCAAGUCCGCAUGGUCCUUAUGCCCUGGGCUACACACAUGUUACAAUGAGUACGGCAAUGAGUCUGUCGCGAGCACGUAAGUGUAAGCUAAUCUCUUAAAUGUACUCUCAGUGGGGAUUGAGGUCUGCAACUCGACCUCAUGAACACGGAAUUGGUAGUAAUCGCGGGUCAGCUAUACCGCGGUGAUACGUUCUUGCCUCUUGCACACACCGCCCGUCAAACCAGCAAAGUCGAUUGUAUCCGAACCU
rnacentral:rRNA from 1 species